UUGGAGACCUCAAAUCAGG
rnacentral:rRNA from 1 species